GGUCAAGCUACAAAGGGCGCAUGGUGAAUGCCUUGGCAUCAGGAGCCGAUGAAGGACGUGAUAAGCUGCGAUAAGCUUCGGGUAGGCGCACAUAGCCAGAGAUCCGGAGAUUUCCGAAUGGGGAAACCCGCAUGAGAAACCUCAUGCAUCGUAAAGUGAAUACAUAGCUUUAUGAAGGAACACCUAGGGAACUGAAACAUCUAAGUACCUAGAGGAAGAGAAAGAAAAAUCGAUUUUCUUAGUAGCGGCGAGCGAAAAGGAAAGAGCCCAAACCAGAGAUUUAUCUCUGGGGUUGCGGACAGAACAUAACGUGAAAUUAUGAUUAACCGAACACAACUGGAAAGUUGGACCAUAGGAGGUAAUAGUCCUGUAAGUAAAAGUCAUAAUGAUCAGUUCUGCACCAGAGUACCACGAGACACGUGAAACCUUGUGGGAAGCAGGGAGGACCACCUCCCAAGGCUAAAUACUACCUGAUGACCGAUAGUGAAGCAGUACCGUGAGGGAAAGGUGAAAAGAACCCCGGGAGGGGAGUGAAAUAGAACCUGAAACCAUGUGCCUACAACCGAUCAAAGCACCUUAUGUGUGUGAUGAUGUGCUUUUUGUAGAACGAGCCAACGAGUUACGGUAUGUAGCGAGGUUAAGUACUUAAGGUACGGAGCCGAAGGGAAACCGAGUCUUAAUAGGGCGACUAGUUGCAUGCUGUAGACCCGAAACCGGGUGACCUAUCCAUGGCCAGGUUGAAGCGAGGGUAAAACCUCGUGGAGGACCGAACCACGUUGCUGUUGAAAAAGCAUGGGAUGAGCUGUGGAUAGCGGAGAAAUUCCAAUCGAACUCGGAUAUAGCUGGUUCUCCUCGAAAUAGCUUUAGGGCUAGCGUCGUGAAAUGUGAGUACUGGAGGUAGAGCACUGAAUAGGCUAGGGGGCAUAGCGCUUACCGAACCUUAUCAAACUCCGAAUGCCAGAUACUAUCAGCACGGCAGUCAGACUAUGAAAGAUAAGUUCCAUGGUCAAAAGGGAAACAGCCCAGAUCGUCAGCUAAGGUCCCAAAGUGUAAGUUAAGUGGAAAAGGAUGUGGGAUUUCUAAGACAACUAGGAUGUUGGCUUAGAAGCAGCCACUCAUUAAAAGAGUGCGUAAUAGCUCACUAGUCAAGAGAUCCUGCGCCGAAAAUGUCCGGGGCUCAAACUUACCACCGAAGCUACGGGUUCAUACUUUGUAUGAGCGGUAGAGGAGCGUCGUAAUCGGGCUGAAGUCGUACCGUAAGGAGCGGUGGACUGAUUACGAGUGAGAAUGUUGGCAUUAGUAGCGAGAUGUAGGUGAGAAUCCUACAGGCCGAAUAUCUAAGGUUUCCUGAGUAAAGUUUGUCUUCUCAGGGUUAGUCGGGACCUAAGGCGAGGCCGAGAGGCGUAGUCGAUGGACAAUUGGUUGAUAUUCCAAUACCACUAUAAUCGUUAUUAUCGAUGGUGUGACGGAGAAGGAUAGGAUGUGCCAGCUAUUGGAUGCUGGUCUAAGCGUUGAGGGAGUUAGAACAGGCAAAUCCGUUCUAACAAUCCUAGGGCGUGAUGGGGAAGGUUCUACGGAACCGAAGUAUCUGAUUUCAUGCUUCCAAGAAAAGCAUCUAGAAAGAGAAGUAGUGCCCGUACCGCAAACCGACACAGGUAGAUGAGGAGAGAAUCCUAAGGCCGACGGAAGAAUCACAGUUAAGGAACUAGGCAAAUUGACCCGUAACUUCGGGAGAAGGGGUGCCUACCAUUUGGUAGGCCGCAGAGAAUAGGCACAAGCAACUGUUUAACAAAAACACAGGUCUCUGCUAAAGCGUAAGCUGAUGUAUAGGGGCUGACGCCUGCCCGGUGCUGGAAGGUUAAGGGGAACACUUAGCGCAAGCGAAGGUGUGAACUUAAGCCCCAGUAAACGGCGGCCGUAACUAUAACGGUCCUAAGGUAGCGAAAUUCCUUGUCAGGUAAGUUCUGACCCGCACGAAUGGCGUAAUGACUUGUGCACUGUCUCAACUGUGAAUCCGGCGAAGUUGUAGUGCGAGUGAAGAUGCUCGCUACCCGCGAUUGGACGGAAAGACCCCGUAGAGCUUUACUGUAGCUUAGCAUUGAAUUUCGGUAUUGUCUGUACAGGAUAGGUGGGAGACUGGGAAAUUAGGGCGUCAGCCUUAAUGGAGUCGUUGUUGGGAUACCACCCUGAUAGUAUUGAAGUUCUAACUGGAUGCCAUGAAACUGGUGACAGGACAUUGUUAGGUGGGCAGUUUGACUGGGGCGGUCGCCUCCUAAAAUGUACGGAGGCGCCCAAAGGUUCCCUCAGAACGGUCGAAAAUCGUUCGUAGAGUGUAAAGGCAUAAGGGAGCCUGACUGCGAGACCUACAAGUCGAGCAGGGACGAAAGUCGGGCUUAGUGAUCCGGUGGUACCUCGUGGGGGCCAUCGCUCAACGGAUAAAAGUACCUCGGGGAUAACAGGCUGAUCUCCCCAAGAGUUCACAUCGACGGGGAGGUUUGGCACCU
rnacentral:rRNA from 1 species